GUCGAACGCUUUGUCUUUAAUUGAUCUGACGAGCUUGCUCUGAUUUGAUUUUAUCUGUCAAAGAGUGGCGAACGGGUGAGUAACACGUGGGUAACCCACCUCUUAGCAGGGGAUAACAUUUGGAAACAAGUGCUAAUACCGUAUAAUACCAACAACCGCAUGGUUGUUGGUUGAAAGAUGGUUCUGCUAUCACUAAGAGAUGGACCCGCGGUGCAUUAGCUAGUUGGUAAGGUAACGGCUUACCAAGGCAAUGAUGCAUAGCCGAGUUGAGAGACUGAUCGGCCACAAUGGGACUGAGACACGGCCCAUACUCCUACGGGAGGCAGCAGUAGGGAAUCUCCCACAAUGGGCGCAAGCCUGAUGGAGCAACGCCGCGUGUGUGAUGAAGGGUUUCGGCUCGUAAAACACUGUUAUAAGAGAAGAACGGCACUGAGAGUAACUGUUCAGUGUGUGACGGUAUCUUACCAGAAAGGAACGGCUAAAUACGUGCCAGCAGCCGCGGUAAUACGUAUGUUCCAAGCGUUAUCCGGAUUUAUUGGGCGUAAAGCGAGCGCAGACGGUUAUUUAAGUCUGAAGUGAAAGCCCUCAGCUCAACUGAGGAAUGGCUUUGGAAACUGGAUGACUUGAGUGCAGUAGAGGAAAGUGGAACUCCAUGUGUAGCGGUGAAAUGCGUAGAUAUAUGGAAGAACACCAGUGGCGAAGGCGGCUUUCUGGACUGUAACUGACGUUGAGGCUCGAAAGUGUGGGUAGCAAACAGGAUUAGAUACCCUGGUAGUCCACACCGUAAACGAUGAGUGCUAGAUGUUCGAGGGUUUCCGCCCUUGAGUGUCGCAGCUAACGCAU
rnacentral:rRNA from 1 species